rnacentral:rRNA from 1 species
GACGGGCGCUGGCGGCGUGCUUAACACAUGCAAGUCGAACGGAAAGGCCCUGCUUUUGUGGGGUGCUCGAGUGGCGAACGGGUGAGUAACACGUGAGUAACCUGCCCUUGACUUUGGGAUAACUUCAGGAAACUGGGGCUAAUACCGGAUAGGAGCUCCUGCUGCAUGGUGGGGGUUGGAAAGUUUCGGCGGUUGGGGAUGGACUCGCGGCUUAUCAGCUUGUUGGUGGGGUAGUGGCUUACCAAGGCUUUGACGGGUAGCCGGCCUGAGAGGGUGACCGGCCACAUUGGGACUGAGAUACGGCCCAGACUCCUAUGGGAGGCAGCAGUGGGGAAUAUUGCACAAUGGGCGGAAGCCUGAUGCAGCAACGCCGCGUGCGGGAUGACGGCCUUCGGGUUGUAAACCGCUUUCGCCUGUGACGAAGCGUGAGUGACGGUAAUGGGUAAAGAAGCACCGGCUACCUACGUG